GGGCCCGUAGCUCAGCCCGGUAGAGCGCCCGGCUCAUAACCGGGUGGUCCGGGGUUCGAAUCCCCGCGGGCCCACCA
rnacentral:tRNA from 2 species